rnacentral:rRNA from 1 species
CGACCGGCGCACGGGUGAGUAACACGUAUCCAACCUGCCUCAUACUCGGGGAUAGCCUUUCGAAAGAAAGAUUAAUAUCCGAUAGCAUAUAUUUCCCGCAUGGGUUUUAUAUUAAAGAAAUUCGGUAUGAGAUGGGGAUGCGUUCCAUUAGGCAGUUGGUGAGGUAACGGCUCACCAAACCUUCGAUGGAUAGGGGUUCUGAGAGGAAGGUCCCCCACAUUGGAACUGAGACACGGUCCAA